AAGUCGAACGAGAGCGACUGGUGCUUGCACUGGUCAAUCUAGUGGCGAACGGGUGAGUAACACGUGGGUAACCUGCCCAUCAGAGGGGGAUAACAUCCGGAAACGGAUGCUAAAACCGCAUAGGUCUUCGAGCCGCAUGGCUUGAAGAGGAAAAGAGGCGCAAGCUUCUGCUGAUGGAUGGACCCGCGGUGCAUUAGCGAGUUGGUGAGGUAACGGCUCACCAAGGCCGUGAUGCAUAGCCGACCUGAGAGGGUGAUCGGCCACAUUGGGACUGAGACACGGCCCAAACUCCUACGGGAGGCAGCAGUAGGGAAUCUUCCGCAAUGGACGCAAGUCUGACGGAGCAACGCCGCGUGAGUGAAGAAGGUUUUCGGAUCGUAAAACUCUGUUGUUAGAGAAGAACAAGUGCUAGAGUAACUGUUAGCGCCUUGACGGUAUCUAACCAGAAAGCCACGGCUAACUACGUGCCAGCAGCCGCGGUAAUACGUAGGUGGCAAGCGUUGUCCGGAUUUAUCGGGCGUAAAGCGAGCGCAGGCGGUUCCUUAAGUCUGAUGUGAAAGCCCCCGGCUCAACCGGGGAGGGUCAUUGGAAACUGGGGAACUU
rnacentral:rRNA from 1 species